GGGUGAUGGACGGAGUCAUCCAGUAUUAGGCGAGGUUGUGCUUUAACUUUUGGAAGAAGCUACAAUACAUUCUUGGUAUUUAAAAGAAAAAGAAAAGAAACUUUGAUUGAUUGAGGAUGCAGAACCUGUCACGUUCAUCCCAUGUUCAUUUAAUUUCUUUCUUUAAAAUCCACAAGCAAUUUAUUUUCUUCCUUUAAAAGCUACGGUGGUUACGGCCAGAAUGUAGUGUCUAGCGAAUU
rnacentral:lncRNA from 1 species